GCGAUAAUAGCUGAACAAGCAGGAAGAGGAGAGCUGGAUACUUUUAUCUGCGCUCUCUAACAAGAAGAAGGGCUGCGUCCUUCUGAAUCUCACAACACACACACACACCUGAACCACUCUUAUCUCCACUCCCUAUGCACUAACAUUCCGGAACAGAAUGUUCCAGUAAGAUAGCCACAUACUGUUGUAUAGUCAUUUUUCUGAGAAGAGCGAAAAUACGCCGCCCUGUUGUGUGGGCACCAGUGACUAUAAAGGCACGAAUAAAGAAGUACACUGUGUGACUCUCACUUGAGACGUUCACCCAUGUACAUGUGAUUAAGUAUUUUGUCUCACUGUGUUUCUGUUUGCCUUGGCAGACUUCUGUUUGGGAUUUUCCCUUAACAUUCACAUAUAUGAAUAGUCAUGGGUCAAAGCUUUGGAGCGCCAUUCCAGAAGUUUGAUGUUAGUCUGCUUCUAGCUGUUGAUUUGAGGUGAAGUUAAAGAAUCUGGAGGCAGCUCUUCUUCUUCAUUAUUCCAUCCAGUUUGUGAAACGCAUCAGUACCACUGACAGUAAAAGCAGCUCCAGAGGAUGAUGGUACCACCACCAUGCAUGUUCAUAGGCUAGAAAGCCCAACCUUUACUCCUCCAAACAUACCUGUUGUCAUUGUGGCCAGGUAGUUCAAUCUUUGUCUCAAAUGACCAUAAACUUUUCUCCAGAAGGCAGAAUUGCAGUCAAGCUUGGUGUCGAUGUUGGAGCAGAACAUUCUUUCUUUGUUGCUACCCUCUCAGUCCAUGAUGAUGUAAAAGUCAUGUUGAAAUUCCUCUGUUAUGAGGGAGACAGACGAAGUGGUGACACAUCCAAACAAGUUGUAUUUAUAUACAGUUGUUUGAACCGAUGAUGUUGGAAUGUGUAGUUGUAUAGAAAUGGCUCUAAGAGACCUUCCCAACUUAAAUGUACAGUUCUCCUUCUUAGAGCUUCACUGAAUUCCUUCGACUUUCCCAUUGUUCUACAUAUUGUUCAGUCCGAUGAGUGACGUCAGACACAAUUCUUUUUAUACUGGCAAAGAUAACUGCCUGUUGUAGUCAGUUAUGAUCACUAACAAGAAAUUAUUAGGCCUCAACCUUGUCAAGUUGAGCCCAUCGGCAGCACUUAUUAAAAGAUUUAAGUGAGUGUAUGUGUAUA